CAUCAAAUCCAUUCCUCCAUUCUUCCUUGGUCAUAUCUGCCAAUUUUUAGCAACAUUAUGUUAUUCUUGAUCACCACCCCACUAAAUAUACGUAAAUGAAAUAGUCUAGUAUGUUAGACAGUAGAGACAGCUAAUUGUAGAGGACCACACCAGGUUACUAUGCCCGUUGCAGAAUUACUACUUAUAGUCAUGCAGAUACAUGAAAUAUUUCUUUAGAAUUUUAUGAAUACAUAAUAUUGGAAUAUUUUCACUAGGCCGGAGUCCUCAACCUCAUUUGGCCGAGGAGGUUUGAAUAUUUUUAGAGAUAUAUUUCAAGUUACUCUUUAUUUCUACAUUCCAGUCACUUAUAGAUAUACAAACUCAUUCCAGCAGCUGAUGUAAUACUCUAGGUUACUCUACCCUGUAUGAGCCCAUGGUGAGAAGCAGGGAGUCGUCAAAUACCGGGAGUGGAAACGAGAUGCGCGAGCGUGAUCCAUGCUCGCCUCGCGCUGGAGCACGCCGAUUUUUUUCAAAUAAUCUUUUUUGUGCCACAUUCACCAAUUCCGCGGGAUUUUCAAAAUAACAAAAUUUAUUUUGGUUCUUCCUGCAAGCGGAGCAAUUUAGACGUCUCCAUAAAUAAACCUUCUCGUCAGAUUUCCGCUUCCCUUUUGUAGUAUUAUCACUCUUCGUCGUAGAUUCGUCGGCAGUGCAUGGUCAUGCUGGAUAGGGAGAUAUCGGUAGCCAUUUUACGGCUGAUGUUUUAGGAACUUGGGCGAGAGACCUGGACACCACAUCAGCUGUGUUUUCAAGUUUAAUUUGCGGUACAUUAGUGGCAAGAAAGCCGUCCAUCAUGCCAGCAUCAUCCGCAGCAGCAACAGCAGCAGCACCCCAGCCCACCGCCAUAGUCAACUGCACUGCAGAGACACCUAAAAGAUACCAUGGUGGUUGGUGUGUUGUUGCGGUGAGAAGAGAACUGGGAGCUAGCAGAAAGCCUGAGUUAACUAGCCUCAAGCCGGUGUUGGCGACUUUCGGCCAUGAAAUUCUGGCCAACAUGUCUCCGAAUCUACCAAACUUUGAAAAGAUAAUUGAAUCUGAGACACAUGAGCGCAUCCACCGUGUGUGUGCAUGCACAGUGUGGGCAUGUCAGUAUGUGUGUGUGUGUGUGUGUGUGUGUGUGUGUGUGUGUGUGUGUGUGUGUGUGUGUGUGUGUGUGUAUGUGUGUGUGUGCUGCCAAAGAUGGCUCUCUCGUCGUGCCGAUUGAAUAUGGUCCCUGAUCUCUUGGCAGACUGCCGACUUUCUGCCGUCGCUUCCAUGUUGUUGGCCCCGCAAGGGGACAGGUGACCGUAAUGGCAGUGUU